rnacentral:rRNA from 1 species
UACAGAGGGUGCAAGCGUUAAUCGGAAUUACUGGGCGUAAAGCGCGCGUAGGCGGUUUGUUAAGUCGGAUGUGAAAGCCCUGGGCUCAACCUGGGAACUGCAUUCGAAACUGGCUAACUAGAGUAUGGUAGAGGGUGGUGGAAUUCCUAGUGUAGCGGUGAAAUGCGUAGAUAUUAGGAGGAACAUCAGUGGCGAAGGCGACCACCUGGACCAAUACUGACGCUGAGGUGCGAAAGCGUGGGGAGCAAACAGG